rnacentral:rRNA from 1 species
AUUGAACGCUGGCGGCAGGCCUAACACAUGCAAGUCGAGCGAGUGGCGAACGGGUGAGUAACACGUGGGUGACCUGCCCUGCACUUCGGGAUAAGCCUGGGAAACUGGGUCUAAUACCGGAUAGUGUGGGAUGGGCCCGCGGCCUAUCAGCUUGUUGGGGGGGUAAUGGCUACCAAGGCGCGACGGGUAGCCGGCCUGAGAGGGUGGACGGCCACAUUGGGACUGAGACAGGGCCCAGACUCCUACGGGAGGCAGCAGUGGGGAAUAUUGCACAAUGGGCGGAAGCCUGAUUCAGCAACGCCGCGUGAGUGAAGAAGGUUUUCGGAUCGUAAAACUCUGUUGUUAGAAAAGCGGUAUCUAACCAGAAAGCCACGGCUAACUACGUGCCAGCCGCCGCGGUAAUAC